AGACAAAUUAGAUUAGGAGAUUGGAACGAGAGUAAGAACCACGGUGUACUUAUUUCGAAGACGGUGGGGUCCGAUUCCGUUGUUUAACCCCUUUAUUCUGAGCACGAUCGUUAAACAUCGAAAAUGAGACAAUGUGUGAUGUGCAUCAAUAUGUGGAACUCUUGGAAGUUUAUUAUUUUAAUUAAACAUUUGCAUCUGGGAGACCUCUUAAAGAAACGAUUUUUGGAGGAUUUGGAUGAGAGAGGUUGGUCUGAGACUGUAGUAUACAAGAACAAGUCACCAGACAUUAGACAAAAAAUUGUUUAAAUGCUGGUGGAAAAUACUGCAAUGGUGAAGUGAUAUUAAUAAAACGGUUACCCGGAUUUAAGAGAAUGGUGUCCUCGUAAAAUUCCGGAAGUUCCGCCGGUCUGACAGCGACCAGCGCCACCCCAUAUUUACGGUGACUGUGGAAGGACGCAACAUUUACCGUAGAGCCUCUGCCAUUCCUCCUGCGAUUGCUGACCUUCCCUAGUAAACAAUAAAGAAUUUAUCUUUCAAAAUAAACAUCGCUUGGGACUCCGUAAUUUUGAAUAAAU